AAGUGAAAGCAGAAGAAGGUAUCUUUUCUUGUAAUUCAACGUGUGGAAAGAAGCUUAGAUGUUGUAAUCAUUACUGUGCUGAGAUUUGCCAUCCUGGACCUUGUGGGGAUUGUGAGUUUAUGCCAAGCAAGAUCAAGUCUUGUUACUGUGGGAAAACAAGCUUGCAAGAGCAAAGGCAAAGUUGUUUGGACCCUAUUCCAACUUGUUCAGAGAUAUGUGCCAAGUUCCUUCCUUGUCAAGUGCACCAAUGUGACCAAGUGUGUCAUGCUGGGGAUUGUCCGCCUUGUUCAG
rnacentral:lncRNA from 1 species